rnacentral:misc_RNA from 1 species
AUUGAAAUAUCCAUGACAUGCUUUGAAGGGAGACAUUUUUCCCUGGCUGGAUCUUGUUUUCCACACUUUUCCUGGCUUCCCUCAUUUUCUUUCUCACUCUGUACGACUGAUACUUGAGUCGAUGACUGUCAAAUCAAACCUCAAAGAAAAGUCACCUGUUCUGUUCAGACAAACCCUUCUUAUCACUAGAAAGUAGAAAUAAAACCACAAAUGCAACCUGUCACACCCAUGUUCCCCAACCACCCAAAAAGAUCACUACCCCUGUCUGGAAAAAAGUUAGAAGGUUGGGAGGAGAAAGUGGAGGAAUAGGAAUUGAAGGGAGGGAGAGAAUAAUUUUCUCUCUUUUUAGGAAAGUGAAGAAGGGUGGGGUGAGAAAGG